rnacentral:rRNA from 1 species
CAGUCGCCGCGGGAAUACGAAGGGUGCAAGCGUUAAUCGGAAUUACUGGGCGUAAAGCGUGCGUAGGCGGUUUGUUAAGUCUGCUGUGAAAUCCCCGGGCUCAACCUGGGAAUGGCAGUGGAUACUGGCAAGCUAGAGUGUGUCAGAGGAUGGUGGAAUUCCCGGUGUAGCGGUGAAAUGCGUAGAGAUCUGGAGGAAUACCGAUGGCGAAGGCAGCCAUCUGGCCUAAUACUGACGCUGAGGUACGAAAGCAUGGGGAGCAAACAGGAUUAGAUACCCCGGUAGUCCCUGUCUCUUAUAC